AGAGUUUGAUCCUGGCUCAGAUUGAACGCUGGCGGCAUGCCUUACACAUGCAAGUCGAACGGCAGCACGGGAGCAAUCCUGGUGGCGAGUGGCGAACGGGUGAGUAAUAUAUCGGAACGUGCCCAGUCGUGGGGGAUAACGUAGCGAAAGCUACGCUAAUACCGCAUACGAUCUACGGAUGAAAGCGGGGGAUCGCAAGACCUCGCGCGAUUGGAGCGGCCGAUAUCAGAUUAGCUAGUUGGUGGGGUAAAAGCCCACCAAGGCGACGAUCUGUAGCUGGUCUGAGAGGACGACCAGCCACACUGGAACUGAGACACGGUCCAGACUCCUACGGGAGGCAGCAGUGGGGAAUUUUGGACAAUGGGCGAAAGCCUGAUCCAGCAAUGCCGCGUGCAGGACGAAGGCCUUCGGGUUGUAAACUGCUUUUGUACGGAACGAAACGGUCUCUUUUAAUACAGGGGGCUAAUGACGGUACCGUAAGAAUAAGCACCGGCUAACUACGUGCCAGCAGCCGCGGUAAUACGUAGGGUGCAAGCGUUAAUCGGAAUUACUGGGCGUAAAGCGUGCGCAGGCGGUUAUAUAAGACAGAUGUGAAAUCCCCGGGCUCAACCUGGGACCUGCAUUUGUGACUGUAUAGCUAGAGUACGGUAGAGGGGGAUG
rnacentral:rRNA from 1 species